rnacentral:rRNA from 1 species
GGGGAUAACAGGCUGAUACCGCCCAAGAGUUCACAUCGACGGCGGUGUUUGGCACCUCGAUGUCGGCUCAUCACAUCCUGGGGCUGAAGUCGGUCCCAAGGGUAUGGCUGUUCGCCAUUUAAAGUGGUACGCGAGCUGGGUUUAGAACGUCGUGAGACAGUUCGGUCCCUAUCUGCCGUGGGCGUUUGAGAAUUGAGAGGAGCUGCUCCUAGUACGAGAGGACCGGAGUGGACGAACCGCUGGUGUUCGGGUUGUCAUGCCAAUGGCAUUGCCCGGUAGCUAUGUUCGGAACGGAUAACCGC